rnacentral:tRNA from 1 species
CGCGGAGUAGAGCAGUUGGUAGCUCGUCGGGCUCAUAACCCGAAGGUCAGAGGUUCAAGUCCCCUCUCCGCAACCA